AACGAACGCUGGCGGCAGGCUUAACACAUGCAAGUCGAACGCCCCGCAAGGGGAGUGGCAGACGGGUGAGUAACGCGUGGGAAUGUGCCCCAAGGUACGGAACAACAGCGGGAAACUGCUGCUAAUACCGUAUGUGACCGAGAGGUGAAAGAUUUAUCGCCUUGGGAUCAGCCCGCGUUAGAUUAGGUAGUUGGCGGGGUAAUGGCCCACCAAGCCUACGAUCUAUAGCUGGUCUGAGAGGAUGAUCAGCCACACUGGGACUGAGACACGGCCCAGACUCCUACGGGAGGCAGCAGUGGGGAAUCUUGGACAAUGGCGCAAGCCUGAUCCAGCCAUGCCGCGUGAAUGAUGAAGGCCUUAGGUGUAAAGUUCUUUCGUCGGGGACGAUAAUGAC
rnacentral:rRNA from 1 species